rnacentral:rRNA from 1 species
UACGGGGGGGGGCAAGCGUUGUUCGGAAUUACUGGGCGUAAAGGGCUCGUAGGCGGCCAACUAAGUCAGACGUGAAAUCCCUCGGCUUAACCGGGGGAACUGCAUCUGAUACUGGAUGGCUUGAGAUUGGGAGAGGGAUGCGGAAUUCCAGGUGUAGCGGUGAAAUGCGUAGAUAUCUGGAGGAACACCGGUGGCGAAGGCGGCAUCCUGGACCAACACUGACGCUGAGGAGCGAAAGCCAGGGGAGCAAACGGGG